GACUUCCAAAAUUGGCAUCGGGACAGAGCAGGGCUGGCGGGAGGCAGGCAAAAGACGGAAUUUUCCUGAAAAAACGGGGGGGACCAGGAUCUCAGGGGAGAGUAGCUGAGGCCUUGCUCGGAGUCCCAGGAGAUCCACAGGUCCGGCAUGAACAGUGAGAGGUCAGAGGUGGAAGGCUCAGCAGGAGAGGAGAGGAGGAUCAGCAGAGGUCAUGAGAAGGCCAGAAUCCAGGGUCAGGCUGUCUGGAACAGGAAGUAAAAUGGGCCGAGAUGGAGCGAGCCCCCAGUGUGCUUCCAAGGCCACUCCCACCUCCCUGAAACACCCUGCUACGUACUGAUCCAAUGCCCUGCGCUGUGUAUGAGAGCACCUUCUCUUCUGAAACCCCUAUACAAGGGAGGGGCCCCUGCGGAGACCGUGCCCUGCCAUCCAGUCCUCAAGGGGAUUCUAAAAAACUAGUGACAAAGUAGGGAAGCAGCUGAGCUGGAAAGGAGUUCUGAGGACGAUGGAACCUUGGGUAAGGAGGAAGAAGGCUGCCCACCCGCCCUUUUCUGGCAGCCACCCUCCCUCACACUGUCCGUUCCUUGAUGACACAGCUGAUGUGAUUAAGAUCGUCCCCAAAUCGCUUCACAGCAGCCCUCAGCAUCUCUAUUUCCGUCUCCGUCCACUUCGCACUGUCAGAAGGGGAGAGGGGGGAUAGCAAAAAUGGGAGGGGGGGUGUGGAGCCCGCCCACAGGCUAUGCAUCCCACAGCCAACCAGCCGCCUCCUUCCGAUUUCUGGGACCCCUUCCACGGAUGCAUAAAGAGGUCCUCCGUAAGGGGAGGCGGAAAGCUCUUGAGGCCCUGCGGGAACCGGGAGGACCCCAAUCACAAGAAAUCACAACCACCUCCACCUUAGACACCCCUUUCCACCAUCAACGUUAAACGGCUGCUGUACACAGCACACUGAAACCAACUCGCCAGGAAGGGCUUUUCAAAACAGACCCACCAACACAGCCUGCAGCCGUCUGGGGGAAUUCCAUGAACUGGGGUGGUUGGGAGUGGCGGUGGUUUGUGGUCGACCCGUUCGCAGCAGGGAGAA
rnacentral:lncRNA from 1 species